AACAUUGAAUUGUGCAUCUAAAUCAGCUUGUCCUGAAAUGAUCUCAAUCAGUUCUUGCACACGCUCUUGAGGAGCUUUAUUUCCAAAUAUGCUCAAACUUCUCAAAAAAUCCAUGAACAUCUUAAAUUCACCUCCUGUCACAUCUUGUAGGCUCUUCUUUAUCAGAUCGGUUAUGUGCCUCUCCAUUUUUUCUGGAGGCUUGAGGAGCUCAGCUUUUAGAGGAAAUACCUUGUCUUUGAUAAAAACUAAGGUCCUUUCACGGAGAUUGUCAUCCGACAUCUGCUCAUCAAUAGUCUCAAUGUGUUUAAAAAGAGCUGUCAAUGAAGCUUGUACGUCUUGCCUUAACAAGGACAAAAGGGCUUUGUUUACUGCAUCACGUUCCACAUUUUCCUCCGCAGUCAGGAGUUGAACAAGUAUAUCAACAAUUUUUGAAAGAUGCUCGGGUGUGUCUUUGCAAAAAAGAGGAAGUCCACGAAUGGCUUGCACUCGAACCCCAAGCUCCUCAGCUUCACAGAAAUCCAGCUGAGCAUCUACAGCACGGACUGAUAAACUAGGAAAAUACUUGAAGAAUCUGGGGAUUAGCUGAGCUGCUAGUUGCAUAGCUUUAACACUGCUGCUCUUCGCUGCCUUAAUUAUAUUCUCAUAGUCCUCCACAUUCUGAGACUUGUCCUUCGACUCGUUGAGGCGUUCGCCGUACUCGUAAAGCUUCUCGAUAAUGGCUUCGUCCGAUGACUCCGCCAUUGCUAAGCUUGUAAGUUUAAGCAGUAGAGACAGUAGAAGUGAAGGGAAAUUAGACUUGGG
rnacentral:misc_RNA from 1 species